AACCUGCCAGACAGGGAAACUGCGUACGGCUCAUUACACCAGCCUUAAUUUACUUGACCUUGACAACCUACUUGGAUAACUGUGGUAAUUCUAGAGCUAAUACAUGCACCAAAGCUCCGAUCCUCGCGGAGAGGAGCGCAUUUGUUCGCCACAAAACCAAGCGCCCAUCUGGGCGUCCAGUGCUGAACCAGAACAACUCAGCUGAUCGCACGGUCUUGUACCGGCGACGUGUCUUUCAAGUGUCUGCCUUAUCAACUUUCGAUGGUAGUGUACCUGACUACCAUGGUUGUGACGGGUAACGGAGGAUAAGGGUUCGACUCCGGAGAAGGGGCCUGAGAAAUGGCCACUACGUCUAAGGAUGGCAGCAGGCGCGCAAAUUACCCACUCUCAACGCGAGGAGGUAGUGACGAGAAAUAACGAGACCGUUCUCAUACGAGGCCGGUUAUUGGAAUGGGUACAAUUUAAA
rnacentral:rRNA from 1 species